ACAGCUUUGACGGCGUCACUCAAGCGCAGCGCGGCCGCAGCGGAAUCCUGCGUUUGUCCUGCGCAGCGCGGCCGCAGGAAGCUGCAGCAGGGGGCGUGUCUUAAAGAGGCAGCAGCGGGUUGAUCAGCUGGGUAUGGCAAGCCGUAAGUGCCAUAAAACCACACGGGACACGGGACACGGGACACGGUGUCUUUGUCCCCGCAGGACGACGAACACAGCUCCAGGUACUGUUACUUCAACAUCUGUAACCCGCAGGACGACGAACACAGCUCCAGGACGACGAACACAGCUCCAGGACGACGAACACAGCUCCAGGACGACGAACACAGCUCCAGGACGACGAACACAGCUCCAGGACGACGAACACAGCUCCAGGUACUGUUACUUCAACAUCUGUAACCCGCAGGACGACGAACACAGCUCCAGGUACUGUUACUUCAACAUCUGUAAUCCGCAGGACGACGAACACAGCUCCAGGACGACGAACACAGCUCCAGGUACUGUUACUUCAACAUCUGUAAUCCGCAGGACGACGAGCACAGCUCCAGGACGACGAGCACAGCUCCAGGACGACGAACACAGCUCCAGGUACUGUUACUUCAACAUCUGUAAUCCAGCCUGCUGGUGUUUUAGUCUCUGCUGUCCAGGAUUUAACGUUAGU
rnacentral:lncRNA from 1 species